CGGCCGCCGCCGUCCGCAUCACCAUCACAACUUCUCGCCGGAGAACCACGCAAUCCACCGCAUCCCGGGUAGUUGUGGGGAGAAUUCGGCGGCGGCCACGAUGGUGUGCAUCCGGCAGGCGACCAUCGACGACCUGCUCGCGAUGCAGGCGUGCAACCUGAUGUGCCUGCCGGAGAACUACCAGAUGAAGUACUACCUCUACCACAUGCUCUCGUGGCCGCAGCUCCUCUUCGUUGCCGAGGACUAUGGCGGCCGCAUCGUCGGAUACGUGCUCGCCAAGAUGGAGGAGGACCCCUCGGAGCCCUGCCACGGCCACAUCACCUCCCUCGCCGUCCUCCGCUCCCACCGCAAGCUGGGGCUCGCCACCAAGCUCAUGUCCGCCGCGCAGGCCGCCAUGGACCAGGUCUUCGGCGCCGAGUACGUAUCCCUCCACGUCCGCCGAUCCAACCGCGCCGCCUUCAACCUCUACACCUCAACCCUCGGGUACCAGAUCCACGACAUCGAGGCUAAGUACUACGCCGAUGGGGAGGACGCGUUCGAUAUGCGCAAGCCUCUGCGGCAGCCGCAGCCUAAGAAGCACCACCACCACCAUCACCACCACGGCCCAGGUGGAUGCUGCUCCCAUGAUGCUCCUGCGGCGGCGGCUGGUUCUUCUCCGCAGUCUUCUAAUUCGCCGGAUAAGAAGGCGAACACUUGACGGAGGGCAACUUCCAAGUCCCUGUUCCAGGGAGAACCUACUUGGGGUCCCACAUUCAAAUGAGAUGUAUGGGCAUCUACUGAGAAGUGAACCUACAGAGAGGAAUUGCCAGGCCCCUGGGACUACCCACAUCUUGCGCUCUCCAUUUGAUAAAAGAUUCUAGUUUUCUAUUUCUAAUAGAACGCAAAGGUCUUGUACUGUGAUUAUUUGUGUUUGUAUGUCUGGUCGAUUUAAAUCUGUUGACCAUGUCUGUAAACGGUGAGAAUGGCAUGCAAAUAUACUGACAUUUCGGUUGACUAUCAUAUUGGAUGUUAUACCUAAUGAUUAGCCAGUUGAUCUUGCAACAGCACAUAAUAAAAGUUCGGUAUCUUGCAGUACCGUAAAAGUCAA